UGGUGUAAACUCUUCUGGGACUGUACAGUAUUCUGCUGCCUUGGCUGAAAACGCAUUGCCUAGCUCCUGAUUUAAAAUUCCUACAUCUAAAUAGCACUUUUGCUGGAUGGAAUCAUCGGAGUUCAAAGUGCAGUGGAAGAAAUCAGAAUGUUGUUGGCAAGAUUCAGGAGUGAUUUGUGGUUCUCAUAACAACGGGCAACUAUUUACUUUUGGAAAAAAAAAAAGACAACAGAUAAAGGAUUCUCUGUUUCUCUUUUUAUUUGUUUGCUUUGUGUGGAGAAGAAGAGUUUAAUAUAUCGUACUUUGAGUCAAAAUUGUUGUAAAAUGACAUUGGCACCAAUAUCUGAAAAAUAUUGGAGAAAAACAAAGCUUAGGAAAAGCAAGAAUAAACAUUUUGCAAGAGAAAAGAUAGUGGGUUUU
rnacentral:lncRNA from 1 species